AUGGGAUUAUUGUGUGAAAUAAACAAACAGUGUAAUAGGAAUGAGGUUUCCGUUACAGCCAUGAUUCCUGAUGCCGUCCAUCUCAGGAGGUUUCCAGCCAUCAGAAAGACUUUUCAUUUUCAGUUAAGUACAGAAAAAGGGAGGAGCCCAAUUCAGAACUCCAGAUACCCAAGUCUUGAAAAAUGCAUCCACUUAUUCUACUCAACAGGAAGCUUUCUAAGUUUCUGGUCUUUAUUGGUGAAAGAAGUUUCCACAUCAGAAAUUUUUACACUGAUUCAAUCACAGAUAUGGACAUUCACAGGUAAAUAUCAGGGAUGUAGUGUGAGGUAGUGAAAUGAAAAUUAAUUUUGGAGUUUUGGAAAUCUAAGUUGAGACCCCAGUUCUCUCCUUUUGGUAAGCUGCAGAAAUUUGCUGAAGUUUUUUUUCUUUUCUCAAAUAAGGCAGGAGGUAGGAUGGGGACUAGAUUAUUUCUAAAGCCCCUUCUAAAUCUAAACUCUUAUGGAC
rnacentral:lncRNA from 1 species